UACGGAGGGGGCUAGCGUUGUUCGGAAUUACUGGGCGUAAAGCGCACGUAGGCGGCUUUGCAAGUCAGAGGUGAAAGCCCGGGGCUCAACCCCGGAAUUGCCUUUGAGACUGCAUCGCUAGAAUUGUGGAGAGGUAAGUGGAAUUCCGAGUGUAGAGGUGAAAUUCGUAGAUAUCAGGAGGAACACCUGUGGUGUAGACAGCUUACUGGACCAUUUCUGACGCUGAGACACGAAAGCGUGGGUAGCAAACAGG
rnacentral:rRNA from 1 species